UAGGGAAUCUUCGGCAAUGGACGAAAGUCUGACCGAGCAACGCCGCGUGAGUGAAGAAGGUUUUCGGAUCGUAAAACUCUGUUGUUAGAGAAGAACAAGGACGUUAGUAACUGAACGUCCCCUGACGGUAUCUAACCAGAAAGCCACGGCUAACUACGUGCCAGCAGCCGCGGUAAUACGUAGGUGGCAAGCGUUGUCCGGAUUUAUUGGGCGUAAAGCGAGCGCAGGCGGUUUCUUAAGUCUGAUGUGAAAGCCCCCGGCUCAACCGGGGAGGGUCAUUGGAAACUGGGAGACGUGGGUGCAGAAGAGGAGAGUGGAAUUCCAUGUGUAGCGGUGAAAUGCGUAGAUAUAUGGGGGAACACCAGUGGCGAAGGCGGCUCUCUGGUCUGUAACUGACGCUGAGGCGCGAAAGCGUGGGGAGCAAACAGG
rnacentral:rRNA from 1 species